CACCGAGUCCGAGGUUCCGGAAUGGCCCGGGACCUGGUGCGAAAGGGA
rnacentral:sRNA from 19 species